rnacentral:rRNA from 1 species
GACGAACGCUGGCGGCGUGCUUAAUACAUGCAAGUCGAACGAAGUGGCGAACGGGUGAGUAACGCGUAAUCAACCUGCCCUUCAGAGGGGGACAACAGUUGGAAACGACUGCUAAUACCGCAUACUGAAGGAGGGCAUUGUGUGUGAUUAGCUAGUUGGUGGGGUAACGGCCCACCAAGGCGAUGAUCAGUAGCCGGUCUGAGAGGAUGAACGGCCACAUUGGGACUGAGACACGGCCCAGACUCCUACGGGAGGCAGCAGUGGGGAAUCUUCCGCAAUGGACGAAAGUCUGACGGAGCAACGCCGCGUGAGUGAUGACGGCCUUCGGGUUGUAAAGCUCUGUUAAUCGGGACGCGGUACCGAAAUAGAAAGCCACGGCUAACUACGUGCCAGCAGCCGCGGUAAUAC